UGGCGGGAGAAGCUCAGCAUGCUGGAGUUCACCUUCACGCGGGUGAGCCUGGCGCUGGGUCCGCUGGGCCCGUGGUCGGUGGACAUCGACGACGGCAAGUGGGACCAGGUCAAGGCGGCGGAGCAGACGGCGAGCGAGGGCCAGGGCAUGGUGGAGAAGAAGGGCGGCUCGAAGGCC
rnacentral:snRNA from 1 species